rnacentral:rRNA from 1 species
AGUCGAACGAAGCACUUAUCUUUGAUUCUUCGGAUGAAGAGAUUUGUGACUGAGUGGCGGACGGGUGAGUAACGCGUGGGUAACCUGCCUCAUACAGGGGGAUAACAGUUAGAAAUGACUGCUAAUACCGCAUAAGACCACAGAGCCGCAUGGCUCGGUGGGAAAAACUCCGGUGGUAUGAGAUGGACCCGCGUCUGAUUAGGUAGUUGGUGGGGUAACGGCCUACCAAGCCAACGAUCAGUAGCCGACCUGAGAGGGUGACCGGCCACAUUGGGACUGAGACACGGCCCAAACUCCUACGGGAGGCAGCAGUGGGGAAUAUUGCACAAUGGGGGAAACCCUGAUGCAGCGACGCCGCGUGAGCGAAGAAGUAUUUCGGUAUGUAAAGCUCUAUCAGCAGGGAAGAAAAUGACGGUACCUGACUAAGAAGCACCGGCUAAAUACGUGCCAGCAGCCGCGGUAAUACGUAUGGUGCAAGCGUUAUCCGGAUUUACUGGGUGUAAAGGGAGCGUAGGCGGCUGUGUAAGUCUGAAGUGAAAGCCCGGGGCUCAACCCCGGGACUGCUUUGGAAACUAUGCAGCUAGAGUGUCGGAGAGGUAAGUGGAAUUCCCAGUGUAGCGGUGAAAUGCGUAGAUAUUGGGAGGAACACCAGUGGCGAAGGCGGCUUACUGGACGAUGACUGACGUUGAGGCUCGAAAGCGUGGGGAGCAAACAGGAUUAGAUACCCUGGUAGUCCACGCCGUAAACGAUGACUACUAGGUGUCGGGGAGCAAAGCUCUUCGGUGCCGCAGCAAACGCAAUAAGUAGUCCACCUGGGGAGUACGUUCGCAAGA